GCCUGAGUGGCUCAGUGAGUUGAGCGUCUGACUCUUGAUCUCAGCACCGUGGGUUCAAGCCCCACGUUGGGCU
rnacentral:tRNA from 1 species